UACGUAGGUGGCGAGCGUUGUCCGGAUUUAUUGGGUUUAAAGGGUGCGUAGGCGGCCCUAUAAGUCAGUGGUGAAAUAUCGCAGCUUAACUGUGAGGGUGCCAUUGAUACUGUAGGGCUUGAGUGAAUUUGAGGUAGGCGGAAUUGACGGUGUAGCGGUGAAAUGCUUAGAUAUCGUCAAGAACACCGAUAGUGAAGACAGCUUACUAAGCUUCAACUGACGCUGAGGCACGAAAGUGUGGGGAUCAAACAGG
rnacentral:rRNA from 1 species